GACGAACGCUGGCGGCGUGCCUAAUACAUGCAAGUCGAGCGAAGUUUUUCUGGUGCUUGCACUAGAAAAACUUAGCGGCGAACGGGUGAGUAACACGUAAAGAACCUGCCUCAUAGACUGGGACAACUAUUGGAAACGAUAGCUAAUACCGGAUAACAGCAUUAACUGCAUGGUUGAUGUUUAAAAGUUGGUUUUGCUAACACUAUGAGAUGGCUUUGCGGUGCAUUAGCUAGUUGGUGGGGUAAAGGCCUACCAAGGCGACGAUGCAUAGCCGACCUGAGAGGGUGAUCGGCCACACUGGGACUGAGACACGGUCCAGACUCCUACGGGAGGCAGCAGUAGGGAAUCUUCCGCAAUGGGCGAAAGCCUGACGGAGCAACGCCGCGUGAGUGAAGAAGGAUUUCGGUUCGUAAAGCUCUGUUGUUAGGGAAGAAUGAUUGUGUAGUAACUAUACACAGUAGAGACGGUACCUAACCAGAAAGCCACGGCUAACUACGUG
rnacentral:rRNA from 1 species